rnacentral:rRNA from 1 species
AGUGAGCGCUGGCGGUAGGCCUAACACAUGCAAGUCGAGCGGCAGCACAGUAAGAGCUUGCUCUUACGGGUGGCGAGUGGCGGACGGGUGAGGAAUAGAUCGGAAUCUACUUUUUCUUGGGGGAUAACGUAGGGAAACUGACGCUAAUACCGCAUACGACCUACGGCUGAGAGCAGUAGUUCUUCGGACCUUGCGCGAUUCAAUGAGCCGAUGUCGGAUUAGCUAGUUGGCGAGGUAAAGGCCCACCAAGGCAACGAUCCGUAGCUGGUCUGAGAGGAUGAUCAGCCACACUGGAACUGAGACACGGUCCAGACUCCUACGGGAGGCAGCAGUGGGGAAUCUUCGACAAUGGGCGCAAGCCUGAUCCAGCCAUACCGCGUGAGUGAAGAAGGUCUUCGGGUUGUAAAGCUCUUUUGUUGGGAAAGAAAAGCAGCAGGUUAAUCCCCCGCUGUUCUGACGGUACCCAAAGAAUAAGCCCCGGCUAACUUCGUG